GACGAACGCUGGCGGCGUGCUUAACACAUGCAAGUCGAGCGGUAAGGCCCUUCGGGGUACACGAGCGGCGAACGGGUGAGUAACACGUGGGUGACCUGCCCUCCACUUUGGGAUAAGCCCGGGAAACUGGGUCUAAUACCGGAUAGGACCUCUGGGUGCAUGCCUGGUGGUGGAAAGCCUGUGUCUUCGGAUGCUGGCGGUGGGGGAUGGGCCCGCGGUCUAUCAGCUUGUUGGUGGGGUGANGGCCUACCAAGGCGACGACGGAUAGCCGGCCUGAGAGGGUGAUCGGCCACACUGGGACUGAGACACGGCCCAGACUCCUACGGGAGGCAGCAGUGGGGAAUCUUGCGCAAUGGGCGGAAGCCUGACGCAGCAACGCCGCGUGGGGAUGACGGCCU
rnacentral:rRNA from 1 species